AGGGGCUGUGGCGUCCGUACCGCCCGAGCUCUUUCCGCGUUUAGGAUUUUUAGAGGCGCGGCUCAUGGCGGCGUGGCAGUCUUAGAGCUGCGGGGAUGCGAGCAUGCGCAAUGCGCGCCUGCCAGAGCGAGGGGAGGGUGGAACCUCCGCAUGGAGCAUGCGCCGUGCAUACGGGUGGAGGAGCGAGGUUCGGGAGGCCCGUCGGGUGAGCAUGCGCAGUGGCUGCCCGCGGGGCGCAAGCCAGAGGCUGGGAGGUGUGUGAGCGGGUGGGGCUGGGGGACGGGAGUGCGCCUGCGCAGUGGGAGGCACCGGGAACGAGCGAGCAUGCGGGGUGCGCGCCCGCCGAGCUCGGGAGCGAGCGUGCGUCCUGCGGGAGCGCGCGAGGAAAAGAUCAAACUUUUCAAUAACAGCGGGCUACCUGGGACCCAAAGGGCCCCGUUUACUUUAGCUUUGCUCAUCAAACAGUAGAGACAGGUUGGAGUAGUUGGACCCCUUUAAACGUUGGUGUUCAGGGAUGAGCGUGAACUGCGUUGAAAAUUGCAAAAAUCAUCCACGUCCAGGGAGCCUCUGCAGCCUCUGCCCCACCUGCAGCUGCUCAGAAAUGCAAACUCACCCAGUGUAUGACGUGCUCUGGAUCUCAGUCGGCCUUCGCCCCGCAGACCUGGGUGGUUGAUCGAACGCUAAAGCUCCAGACCUGGAGAUGCCUCAGAGGAAGCACCUGGUUUUGAUGAUAAGGAAAAGAACUCUGUAUUUGGAUAAUACAAUUUUCAGCAACCUUCAACUCAAUUUCCUCUCCCCGGAGACAGUAUCUUAUAGGAUAGAAUGAAAUCCCUUAUUCAUAGGGAAAAAGUUCCAAUUUAAUCUGAAUAUUCAGCAUGCCGCCGUGGCCGGGGUGAUGGAUGGCGUAUGGAAAUAUCACGGUUCAAGCAAUCAGAUGUCGGAAUGCACUCUGCUACUGGAAGAAAUAAUGACGCCUAUCCAAUUUUCUAUAAGGCGCAGAAAUGCACGUUGCAUCCUGAGGACCUCGGCUUUCUCCUAUUACCUUACUAAUCACAUCUCCGUUUAAACACAGAGCAAAAAAGGAAGUGUGGUCACAAAUUAAGAAUUAAUGGAAGUGAGACUCCGCAAUGGAUUCGGGGCCGAGGGCCAAAGGCGGCCGCCACGUGCCGCUAUUUACAUGAAGUCACAGAGAUGACGGCGAUGAGCGGGGUCCCCUUGUCAGAAGCUGCUGGGCCAGAUGAACCUGACAAGUAUCUCCUAAGAAGGAUUUAGAAAAGGGGAAGAUGAAAUCUUUGGAGGUAAUGGAGAAUUAGAAGCAUAUAUCAUUACCUAUAAAUCCUGCGGCCCUGCACACGCUGUUGACAGCCCGGAAGAUGAGACUGGCUGAAAGGAAAAAGAUUCUGAGCCUGGAACAAGCGGACCCAGAUUCUAGGUGGCCAGGCUGUGUGGUUGCUUUUAUCAUUCUAGGAGACUUUCGGGAGGAAAUGUUUGCAAAGAGCACGCAGAUGGGGAAAUGUUUGCAAAGAGCACGCAGAUGGGGAAAUGUUUGCAAAGAGCACGCAGAUGGCAUUUUCUUUUCUCUCUC